rnacentral:rRNA from 1 species
UACGUAGGGGGCUAGCGUUAUCCGGAAUUACUGGGCGUAAAGGGUGCGUAGGUGGUUUCUUAAGUCAGAGGUGAAAGGCUACGGCUCAACCGUAGUAAGCCUUUGAAACUGGGGAACUUGAGUGCAGGAGAGGAGAGUGGAACUCCAUGUGUAGCGGUGAAAUGCGUAGAUAUAUGGAGGAACACCGGUGGCGAAAGCGGCUCUCUGGCCUGUAACUGACACUGAGGCUCGAAAGCGUGGGGAGCAAACAGG